GAAUGUGCAGUUCACCACAACCACCGUGUACACCCGACCGUAGCCCCAAUCGGGAAGCAUUUUGUAGGCUUUGGCCCUCAAGGAAGCUGAACCAUUGCUAGAGAUCCACUCGCAUUUGUACCAAGGACGGCCGUAGACGUGAAGAGGCUUGGAAGCCAGACCCACAACAGCGAAUGUCCGAGGACCGCCGCGGUAAGCUCCCAUUAACACGAAGAGAGAGGCCGCGUUGCCGUAGGCGUAGAAGAGGCGCUUGUUAGGGUCUGCGUUGGAGCUGGCCUUUGGAGUGGAGACCUUUUUUUCAGAGACGGAGGAGGAUGAGGGCGGUGUAUACGGGAGGAUGGAUGCAUUACCGGUGGCGAUGGUGGUGGAGGUGGCGGUGGCGGCGGCGGCGGUGGCGGAACAGCGGCUGGUGGUGGAGAUGAGGUUUUCGUAGUAGGGCUGGAGAUUCCAGAUGACCAUGACAAGGGUGAGGGCCAGUAAUGUGGCAACCAGGGGCUUAGUUUCGAAACAUAGGAAUAAUUUGCCGACGGAGUUGCCGGGGACGGUAGCCGGUGAGGCGUCUUUCCU
rnacentral:lncRNA from 1 species